GCUUCUGAUAAACACUGUUGUGUUUUCCAUAGUUAGUUGCCAGCAGCUGAUUUGUUAUAGCUUGUAAUGUCUCGUUACUGCAGCCACCACCA